AGGGUUUGAUCCUGGCUCAGGAUAAACGCUGGCGGCGUGCCUAAUGCAUGCAAGUCGAACGGGGGAAGGAGCUUCGGCUUCAUCUCUAGUGGCGGACGGGUGAGUAACGCGUAAGUGACCCAUCCCCGAGUGGGGGAUAACCCCGAGAAAUCGGGGCUAAUACCGCAUAAAGUGGGAGACCACCAAAGCCUUAGGGUGCUUAGGGAGGGGCUUGCGUCUGAUUAGCUAGUUGGUAGGGUAAGGGCCUACCAAGGCGAAGAUCGGUAGCUGGUCUGAGAGGAUGGUCAGCCACACUGGGACUGAGAUACGGCCCAGACUCCUACGGGAGGCAGCAGCAGGGGAUAUUGCGCAAUGGGCGAAAGCCUGACGCAGCAACGCCGCGUGGGGGAAGAAGGCCUUCGGGUUGUAAACCCCUUUUCUCGGGGAAGAAGCAAGUGACGGUACCCGAGGAAUAAGUCUCGGCUAACUACGUGCCAGCAGCCGCGGUAAUACAUAAGGAGCAAGCGUUAUCCGGAUUUACUGGGCGUAAAGAGGGCGUAGGCGGCCUUUCAAGUCGGAUGUGAAAUCUCCCGGCUUAACCGGGAGGGGUCAUCCGAUACUGUUGGGCUAGAGGGCAGCAAGAGAAGGUAGAAUUCCCGGUGUAGUGGUGAUAUGCGUAGAUAUCGGGAGGAAUACCAGUGGCGAAGGCGGCCUUCUGGGCUGUUUCUGACGCUGAGGCCCGAAAGUGUGGGUAGCGAACAGGAUUAGAUACCCUGGUAGUCCACACUAUAAACGAUGGACACUAGGUAUGGGGAGUAUCGACCCUCUCCGUGCCGAAGCUAACGCUUUAAGUGUCCCGCCUGGGGACUACGGCCGCAAGGCUAAAACUCAAAGGAAUUGACGGGGGCCCGCACAAGCAGCGGAGCGUGUGGUUUAAUUCGAUGCAACACGAAGAACCUUACCAGGGCUUGACAUGUUAGAAGUAGGAACCCGAAAGGGGGACGACCUGUUAAGUCAGGAGCUAUCACAGGUGCUGCAUGGCUGUCGUCAGCUCGUGCCGUGAGGUGUUCGGUUAAGUCCUGCAACGAGCGCAACCCUCAUUGCCAGUUGUAAUUUUCUGGCGAGACUGCCCUGCGAAACGGGGAGGAAGGUGGGGAUGACGUCAAGUCAGCACGGCUCUUACGUCUUGGGCUACACACACGCUACAAUGGGUGGUACAGAGGGGAGCGAAGGAGCGAUCUGGAGCGAAUCCCAAAAAACCAUUCUCAGUUCGGAUUGCAGGCUGAAACUCGCCUGCAUGAAGUUGGAGCUGCUAGUAACCGCAGGUCAGCAUACUGCGGUGAAUACGUUCCCGGGCCUUGUACACACCGCCCGUCACGUCAUGGAAGCCGACAACGCUUGAAGUCCGUGCGCUAACCCGUAAGGGAGGCAGCGGCCGAGGGCGGGGCCGGUAACUGGGACGAAGUCGUAACAAGGUAGCCG
rnacentral:rRNA from 1 species